rnacentral:rRNA from 1 species
UGUUUAAUGUCUGGGAAACUGCCUGAUGGAGGGGGAUAACUACUGGAAACGGUGGCUAAUACCGCAUAACGUCGCAAGACCAAAGAGGGGGACCUUCGGGCCUCUUGCCAUCAGAUGUGCCCAGAUGGGAUUAGCUAGUAGGUGGGGUAACGGCUCACCUAGGCGACGAUCCCUAGCUGGUCUGAGAGGAUGACCAGCCACACUGGAACUGAGACACGGUCCAGACUCCUACGGGAGGCAGCAGUGGGGAAUAUUGCACAAUGGGCGCAAGCCUGAUGCAGCCAUGCCGCGUGUAUGAAGAAGGCCUUCGGGUUGUAAAGUACUUUCAGCGGGGAGGAAGGCGAUGCGGUUAAUAACCGCGUCGAUUGACGUUACCCGCAGAAGAAGCACCGGCUAACUCCGUGCCAGCAGCCGCGGUAAUACGGAGGGUGCAAGCGUUAAUCGGAAUUACUGGGCGUAAAGCGCACGCAGGCGGUCUGUUAAAGUCAGAUGUGAAAAUCCCCGGG